GUGGGCCGCAUACAACAAGCUAUCAUCUAUGCCGGGGAUACAGCAGUGCAACAGUCUACAAAUGCUACACCUUGGCAACAACUACUUUGAGCAUGUGGGUUCCUCAACUCUCCUCUGCCCACAGGGGUUAAAGAUCAUAAUUUUGACAAACAACAAAAUCAAGACGUUGUCAGGAUCUUCGUUUCGUUUUGCAAGUUCGCUGA